AAUUGCACAGACACAGGAAGCCCUCUAAGGUGGUGGUGCUCCCGAGUCACUACUCUGGCCAAUGGGAUGGGCCUUAUUCAGAAUUCAGGGGAACCUGAGCCAAGUGUCCUACCUGUAACCUUGAGGAGGCACCAUGCCAAGGAGUGAAAGAUGAGGUUUCCUUCCUUGUUUUGGUGGCCACUGGAGGGUUCAAGGCAGGGAGUGACCUGAAGAGAACUGGAAAAUCCUGUGAGGCGACAUCCGGCUGAACUGGAAGGAGCGAGAACAACGAGGAGGCAGCCGUGGGUUGGAGGUGAGAAGCCAGGAGAGGCUGCAGCAGGGUGGUGGCAGUGAGAAAGGACAGGAGGGAAGACUGUAAGGAAAGAAGCAUCUGUGACACUGAGAGUGAGUGAAGGGGGAUCUGGGGAAUCCUUAGUCUUCAGGCUUGGCUCACUGGGAGCUAGUGGUGCGCUUUGUCGACAGAGAGAACUCCAGAGAAGUAGACCUUGGCACAGGUCUUUGGAUGAUGGGACGGAAGUUGAGUUGUAAGUUGUAGGGAUAAGAGCCCACAGACUCUAUAAGUAUGAAAGACGUUAGAAGCAAAAAGAAGGCCAGGGAAUGGUCAAACAAGACUAGGAUGUGGGGAAUAGGUCCUCUGACUACACACACAAUUUCUCUGAGGAGACGCCCUAAUGGACUUUGGAGGACAUAGCUUGGCUGAAGAGGCAUCCCUGAGGUUCCAGAGUUGAAGUCUUGGGUGUCCAUCAUAGCACCAACAGUAUAAACUCUAGGACAAGUUGACCACACUUUGAGACAUCACCUAUGGGCUCCAGUGAAACAGCUGGAGCUCGGUUAAAUUUGAUUCCAUUUUUUAAUUUUAGGAUUUUUUUUAAGUUCAAAAAAAUUAGUUGGCUGGGCACAGUGGCUCACGCCUGUAAUCCCAGCACUUUGGGAGGCUGAGGUAGGCAGGCAGAUCACGAGGUCAGGAGAUCAAGACCAUCCUGGCUAAUACAGUGAAACCCCGUCUCUACAACGAAAUACAAAAAAUUAGCCAGGCAUGGUAGCGUGCGCCUGUAGUCUCAGCUACUCGGGAGGCUGAGGCAGGAGAAUCGCUUGAACCUGGGAGGCAGAGGUUGCAAUAAGCCAAGAUCGCACCACCGCACUCCAGCCUGGGCGACAGAGCAAGACUCCUUCUCAAAAAAAAGAAAAAAGAAAAAAUA
rnacentral:lncRNA from 10 species